AUAUCUCUCUGUACGGGAAGGAUGAGAAGCUUCGACCAAGGUUCGAUUCGAGCGCAGCGAGAAAGCGUUGCCGCAGGCAACGACCCGAAGGGUGAAGCGCGCAGCGCUGAGUAAUCCUUCCCCCACCACCA
rnacentral:sRNA from 2 species